ACGAACGCUGGCGGCGUGCUUAACACAUGCAAGUCGAACGGAAAGGCCCUGCUUUUGCGGGGUGCUCGAGUGGCGAACGGGUGAGUAACACGUGAGUAACCUGCCCUUGACUUUGGGAUAACUUCAGGAAACUGGGGCUAAUACCGGAUAGGAGCUCCUGCUGCAUGGUGGGGGUUGGAAAGUUUCGGCGGUUGGGGAUGGACUCGCGGCUUAUCAGCUUGUUGGUGGGGUAGUGGCUUACCAAGGCUUUGACGGGUAGCCGGCCUGAGAGGGUGACCGGCCACAUGGGGACUGAGAUACGGCCCAGACUCCUACGGGAGGCAGCAGUGGGGAAUAUUGCACAAUGGGCGGAAGCCUGAUGCAGCAACGCCGCGUGCGGGAUGACGGCCUUCGGGUUGUAAACCGCUUUCGCCUGUGACGAAGCGUGAGUGACGGUAAUGGGUAAAGAAGCACCGGCUAACUACGUG
rnacentral:rRNA from 1 species